UUAUUAUUGUUUACCAAGGGGAGAAAAUAGGAAUUUCCAACAAGAGCGAAAUUUUCAGAGAAAUGAUAAGCGCGGCCAUUCAUGGCUGGGAUAGAACACGCCUGAGGCAUAUUUUUUUCAACAAUUUUGUCUCUCAUUUCGUCUCUCAAUUUCACAUA